rnacentral:rRNA from 1 species
GACGAACGCUGGCGGCGUGCCUAAUACAUGCAAGUAGAACGCUGAAGAGAGGAGCUUGCUCUUCUUGGAUGAGUUGCGAACGGGUGAGUAACCCGUAGGUAACCUGCCUUGUAGCGGGGGAUAACUAUUGGAAACGAUAGCUAAUACCGCAUAACAAUAGGUGACACAUGUCAUUUAUUUGAAAGGGGCAAUUGCUCCACUACAAGAUGGACCUGCGUUGUAUUAGCUAGUAGGUGAGGUAACGGCUCACCUAGGCGACGAUACAUAGCCGACCUGAGAGGGUGAUCGGCCACACUGGGACUGAGACACGGCCCAGACUCCUACGGGAGGCAGCAGUAGGGAAUCUUCGGCAAUGGGGGCAACCCUGACCGAGCAACGCCGCGUGAGUGAAGAAGGUUUUCGGAUCGUAAAGCUCUGUUGUAAGUCAAGAACGAGUGUGAGAGUGGAAAGUUCACACUGUGACGGUAGCUUACCAGAAAGGGACGGCUAACUACGUG